UGUUGAUGAUGCGGGCAAUCAUUGAGAAGGGAUUUGAACCUCUCCCAUGCAUGAUACAAGUUCUCAUUCGUUUUCUGCUUAAAGAUCAAAAUCUCAUUGUGUAACCU
rfam:Capsicum annuum cultivar Zunla-1 chromosome 1, whole genome shotgun sequence